rnacentral:rRNA from 1 species
GACGAACGCUGGCGGCGUGCUUAACACAUGCAAGUCGAACGGAGAUUAUUAAUGAAGCUUGCGAUUUAAUAAUCUUAGUGGCGGACGGGUGAGUAACGCGUGGGCAACCUACCCAUAAGCGGGGGAUAACAGUUGGAAACGACUGCUAAUACCGCAUAAGCUAUAGAGGUCGCAUGACCUAAAUAGUAAAGGUGGCAUUUAAAGAUGCUAUCACUUAUGGAUGGGCCCGCGUCUGAUUAGCUAGUUGGUGGGGUAGUGGCCUACCAAGGCAACGAUCAGUAGCCGGCCUGAGAGGGUGGACGGCCACACUGGGACUGAGACACGGCCCAGGACUCCUACGGGAGGCAGCAGUGGGGAAUAUUGCGCAAUGGGGGAAACCCUGACGCAGCGACGCCGCGUGAGCGAAGAAGGCCUUAGGGUCUAAAGGCUCUGUUGUAAGGGACGAAUGUUUAAUCUGACGAACAGUCAGAUAAAGUGACGGUACCUUACCAGCAAGCCCCGGCUAACG